AGUGAACGCUGGCGGUAGGCCUAACACAUGCAAGUCGAACGGCAGCACAGUAAGAGCUUGCUCUUACGGGUGGCGAGUGGCGGACGGGUGAGGAAUACAUCGGAAUCUACUUUUUCGUGGGGGAUAACGUAGGGAAACUUACGCUAAUACCGCAUACGACCUACGGGUGAAAGCAGGGGAUCUUCGGACCUUGCGCGAUUGAAUGAGCCGCUGUCGGAUUAGCUAGUGGGCGGGGUAAAGGCCCACCAAGGCGACGAUCCGUAGCUGGUCUGAGAGGAUGAUCAGCCACACUGGAACUGAGACACGGUCCAGACUCCUACGGGAGGCAGCAGUGGGGAAUAUUGGACAAUGGGCGCAAGCCUGAUCCAGCCAUACCGCGUGGGUGAAGAAGGCCUUCGGGUUGUAAAGCCCUUUUGUUGGGAAAGAAAAGCAGCAGGUUAAUACCCCGCUGUUCUGACGGUACCCAAAGAAUAAGCACCGGCUAACUUCGUG
rnacentral:rRNA from 1 species